rnacentral:lncRNA from 1 species
AGUCGAUGGCGGUGGCGGUGUACAGGUUGGGGUCGAUGGUCACCGCUGUGGCCUUGGCCACAAACGCCAGCGAGCCGGCCUUGAGCGGGUUGGUGGUGGCGGCCAGCGAGUUGGCGGCCGCAAUGUUGACCGCGUCAGUGCCGGCGUAGGGCGUGGCCUUGUCCAGGUUCACGGUCAGCGUGGUGCCGGCCACGGAGCAGGGCGAGGUGGCGGCCAGGGUCUUGGCGGGGGUGAAGGUGACAAUCUUGUUGCAGUCGUCCACGGUGGCCGGGGUGGUGGUGAUGGUGCCGGUGGCGGACAGAGUCACCUUGACCUGGGUGGGCGAGGCGGCGGCAGCCGACACAAUCGAAGGGCCAAUGGUGACGACCGCGGCCGAGGCAGCUGCGUUCAGUGUCGCCACAGUGGUGUACUUGGGCGAGGUGUUGGCCACGGCGGCGGCGGUGGCUGCACCGCGCAGGUUGGCGCUGUUGCCAAAGCCGACGUCGAUGCGGUCGCCGGUCGCAUACGAGCUCACGGUUGUGUCGAGGGUCAGGGUGAUUGUGGUGCCGCUGCCGCUGAGGACGCAGGGCGCAACGCCAGCGCCAGGGGCGACCAAGGUCCGCGCGAUGGUGGAGCCGGAGGGGAUGACGCGGAUGACGCUGUCACAGUUGUCCUUGGUGGGCGUGGCGCCGUCGGCAGCAAGAAUCUCAGCGGGGGAGGCAGCCAGGUCGUACAUCUUGACGGGGAAGGGCAGGGUCACCACGAUGGUGUUGGCAGCGGUGGAAGUGGCCGACACGAAGAAGCUGAGCGUGACGGUCACGGCGCUGGCCGAGGGCGUGUACAGGGGCCCAGACAGCUCGUAGCCGGGGCCAACGUCGGACUUCCAGGCGCGCAGCAGGGUCUGGCCCGAUGCAAUGUUGACAGUGUCGCCUGUAAGGUUCACAAGAGGACACUUGCUCAGCACCGGUGCAACGGAGGGAGGCAUGGAUGGCGACUAGAGGCUACACCGACUUCCCAAGCAAUCACUCACCCGGAGCGAAGUCGGCGGCCAGCGUCAGGGUGAGGGUGAGGAAGUCGGACGAGAUGGCGCACGAGGCCACGGACUUGCCGGCAGGCAGCGCCACAAGGCUUGCGCACUGCUGCUGCGUGGGCGCCGAGAUGACGGUGCCGGUGCUGUCGAUCAGCUGGCUGGUCACAGGCAGCGUCACGGCGAUGGUACGGGCACCGGUGGCGGAGGCAGAAACAAUGCGUGGCUCAAUGACCACGGGCAUGCGGCGAGGCACGUACAGCGCCUGGACAUUGGUGCCCACACGCAGCGGCUUGGCAGCGGCAGUGGCGCCAUUCAGACCGGCGUUCUUGUCCCACACGUCGACGGCGUCGCCGGCAGCGUAAGAGGCGCCCAGCUUGAUGGUCAGGAGGGUGUCGCCGGCGCUGGUGGUUCCCAGUAGGCAGGCGGCGCCGCUGAACAGCGUGCGGCAGUUGGAGGGCGUGGCGCAGGCCGAGACGCCGGCGCUGUUGGUCUUGCCGGCCAAGAGCACCGUCAGCACGUCGGCGCACUCUACGUCCGUGAGCGAGGCCACCUUGGUGGCGCUGUUGGUAGCGCCGCUGUAGAAGCUGCUAGUGGCGGGCAGCACCACCGCAAUGGUGGUGCUGUCCACGGUGUAGGCGGACACGAGGGCGGGCGACACGGUGGCGGCAGCGGCCAGGGCGGCGUAGUCUGUCAGCGUGGCUGCGGCGGUGGCGUACUUGAGCAGGUUGGGGGCGCCUGCAAUGUUGACGGCGUCCCCGGCGGCGAACUGGUCCACGGUGGCGGUGACCAGCUGCGUUUCGGCGUCAUAGACGCAGCUGCUGAUGGUGCGCGUUGGUGUGAAGGCCAGGAAGUUGGCGCAGGUGUUGCCGGUGGUGAUGGUGCUGGGCGCCGGCAGCUUGAUCUCCACCUGGUUGGAGGCGAUGGCCUUGGCGGACACAAUGCUCUGGCCCGGCGUGACCACGUCGUACACAGGAAUGGAGCCGGUGACGUACAGCGGGCCGGUGUUGUCAGAGCCACCGAAGAGCUGCAGCUUGGUCGCGUCGGCGCUGCUGGUCGCAACCACCACCACGGACACACCUGCAGAAACGGGAGGCCGAUUCAGGCAUUUGGAAGGCAGGCAUAAGGCAGGCAUACGGCGUCAGCUACCACCUUCAGCAGGAAACCCGCUUCUGUACUCACCCUUGCCGGUCGUGAAGUCGGAGGCGCCCAGGGCCUGGUUCAGGGUCAGCGUCAGGACGGCUCCGUUGGCGUCGCUUGAGAUGGAGCAAGCGCCCGUGUUGGCCUGGGUCUUGUCAGUCGCGUCGUCCACGCGGACCUUGAUGCCGGUUGUCGCGCAGUUAACAGUGCCCAGGUUGCUGGUGAGGGGCAGCUGCAUCUUGAUGACCGCCGCGGAGGCGAUGGUGGUCGCGACGGCCGAAGUGAUGGCAGGCCGGAUCAGCAGGGCAUCGGGCAGUGGCGCAAAGGCCAGGCGGUUGGCGGCGGUGGCCGAGUCGGCCUUGAGCAGGCUCUGGCCGGCCUUGAUGUUGAUCAGGUCCUUGACCGCGUACGUGUUGGCGUUGGUGGUGGAGGCGGCGGCGGCGGCCAGUGUCAGGUAGAAGGUCUGCUUGUCGGCGCCCAGGUAGCAGGCGGAGAAGACCGCCGCGGUCUUGGGCGUGGUGGUGCCGGUGGCGUACAGCUGGAAGAUGUUGUUGCAGUCGGCGGGGGACAGGCCGGAGCUGGGCACGGAGGCGGCCACGGGCAGCGUCACCUGGAGCGACUUGGGGCCAGUCAGGGUGGCGGAGCUGAUGGAGGGGUAGAUUACGACGGCACCGCUGGGCUUGGUGGUGUACAGAAGAGUGAUGGCAGCUGUGGGCUUCAGGUAGUUGGUCGCGGCGGCGGCGGCCUGGUCCGCGGCCACCGACAGGGUGGUGCCGGGCACCCAGUUCGCGGUGGCCAGAGUCACGGUGGUGGUGUACGGUGCAGUGAAAUCAGAGCCCGGGUUGCUGCAGCCGGCAAUGGUCGCAGUGCCGCCAGUGAGGCUGAAGAUUGUCGAGCAGUCCGCAGGAGAAGCGAUGUCAUCAUCGCAGGUGUCGCCGGUGGUGCCCUUGGAGCAACCGGUGAAGCUCCCAGUGCAAGUGGGAACCACCAGGCCGGUGCCGCCACAAGAGAAGGUUAUUGCGCAAUUUGCGGUGCCAGUGAAGGGGCUCUUGCAAGUGGGGGCGGUGGAUGCAGUGCAGGUAGGUCCGGUAGCCGAGACGCAAGCGAACUUUCCACUGGAACUACAUGUUGGCAUGCCAGAUAUCCAGCCUGUGCAGAGCGCUGCGUCACUGACGGCUGUUGCCGUCAUUGUUGAAGACGUGUAGCAAGUGGGGUCCAGGUCGAUGCUUGAAGCACUAUCAUCACAGUUGUUGCCAUUUGCUGCGCUGAAAGCCGAGCCACUGGCACAUCGUGCCGCAGUAGUCAAGGAGCUGCUGUAGCACACAGCGGAGAUGCCCGCACCACACGCAGCUGUGCCGCCGUCAGUUGUUGCUGCAGCACACCCGGGUCCGUUUCCAGCAGUGGCAAUGGAGCCUGGAGAUCCACCAGUGAUGCACGCCGCGGUUGUGCUGGCGGGGCAGGUAACGGUUGGCGCUGCGCACGUCAGGCCAACCGUCGGGUCAGUUGCCGUGCAAGUGUAGGUGCCAGCAGCCGAACAAGCUGGAGAGCCGGAUUGGCAGGUAGCGGUUCCGCUACUGCAAGUGACGGCACCGCCUGUGCAUGUCGGAGCACCCUUGAUGAUCUUGCUCUGAAUAGGCAGAGCCACAACAAUGGUCCGAGGUCCAGUGGCGACGGCUGACACGAAGGUGGGCUUGAUGGUAACGGUGCUGGCUGCACCAAUGGCUGUGCCUGACGCGCUGCCCGCUUUAAUCAGUCCCGCCGCGUUAGCGAGUGACACCGCGCCCGCAACAUAGCCGGCUGUCAGUGUGAUCUGCAGGAUGCUGUUGGGGCUGGAGGUGGUGCCGAUGAGCUUGCAGGAGGCGGCGGUGUUGGCGGUGGAGAAGGUCACGGGCGAGCAGCCGCUGGAGAUGUCGGCCAUGUAGCUGGACAUGGGCAGCGUCACCUCCAGCACGUUGGUGGCGACGGCGGUGGCGGUCAUGAUGCUGCUGCCCCAGGUGGUGGCGCCGGCGUUCAGGGACUUGGCGGUGCCAGUGGCCAUGGGCGCCCAGGCGGUGCUGCCCACCGUGAGGGCCGUCUGGGCGGCCUUGAAGUCCACCUUCCAGGCGGUGGCGGUCAGGCUGGCGCUGACAGUCACGGUCAGGUAGAUGCCGGUGCCGUCCAGGGCCAGGCUGCAGCCAGACUCCGCGGGGCCAUUGUUGUUGUCGGUGACGGACACAAUGCUCGAGCAGGUGCCGGCGGCCAGGGUACUGGCGUAAGGCAGCACCACCACAAACUUCUUGUCGUCGAUGGCGUAGGCGCCGGUCAGGUAGGCAGGCUGGAUGUUGAUGGCGGCGGUGGCCGCGUAGAUCUUGCUGCCCGUGGUGGUUGUCAGGGCAUUCUGAGCGCCCUUGAGCGUCACCGUGUCGGAGGCGAGCAAGGCCUCGUUGGUGGUGCCGGUCACGGUGGUGGCGGACGCGACGCUGCAGACGCCGUUGAAGGUCUUCAUGGCGCCGUUGGCCGCCUUGAUCUCAAUGAUGUCGCUGCAGGUGGGGUUGCCGCCAGAAGUGACAGCGUAGGGCAGCGUCAGCGUGAACGUGUUGGCACCGCUGAUGACGGCCGAAGUCAGGUAGCCAGGCAGGACCGAGCUGGCCGCAGACAGGGCAGCAAUGAUGGUGCCAGUGGUGCCGGCACCGCCUAAGAUCUUCACGCUGGCGCUGGAGGCAACCGCAGUGAACUGCACGGUGGUUGUGCCGGGCGUGUAGGUGGAGGUGGUGGUGAUGGUCAGCACGGUGCCGGACAGUGCGCACGAGCCGGUGGCCGCCAGGGUACCAGACGCGACGGUGAGCAGUGUGUCGCAGUCGGUCUUGUCCAGCGAGGCGACAGAGACGCCGGCCUUAAUCAGGGUGAUGGGCACGGGGAGGGUAACCUUGAUCUCCGUGGCCUUGGUGGCGAUGGACGAGGUCACGUAGCCCAGAGCAAUGGGCGUGGCAGUGGUAGCCUGGACGUAGGGGGCGUUGCCACCAGCGCUGCCGAUGAGCAGGACGGUGUUGCCGGACUUGAUGCGGACCGUGUCGCCGGGAGCGAAGGACUCGGUGGCGGCAAGAUUGACGGUCAGCAGGGUGGUAGCCAGGGUGCAGGGCGUGCCGGAGUCCAGGGUGCGGGGCUUGGUGGCGUCGCCGCCGUUCAGCACCUCCACAAUGGUGUCGCAGGUGGCCUUUGUUAAUGUGGCACCGUUGACCGUGGAGGUGAAGGGCAGGGUCACUACAAUUGAGGUGGCCGAGCGGGCCGCAGCCGACGUCAGGUACGCGGGGCUGAUGGGCGCAGCCGUGCCGGCCUUGUAGGCGGGGCCGGUAGUGCCGGUGCCCGAGACCAGGGUGGUCUGGCCACCGCUGUUGAUGGUGACGGUGGUCUGGUCCGUGAUGGCGGAGUUUAGCGUGAGGCUCAGGACGGCGCCGGUGAUGACGCAGUUGGUGCCGGACUUGACAGUCUUGCUGUUGGUAAAGGUGAGGAUGGUGUUGCAGACGGUAUCCGAGACGGACAGCACCGCGGAGCCGCUGACCACAAAGGUGCUGGCCGCGGGCAGGGUGAUGAGGAUGGUGUCGCCUGCGGACGCGACCGCCUUGUACAGGUUGGGCACGAUGACGGCGGCGGUGGCCAGCGCCUUGUAGGCGGGAGCGGUGUUGGCGCUGCCGGCCAGCAGCAGGGCGUUGGUGUCCUUGAAGUUGAAGGUGUCGCCGCCAGUGUAAACAUCGCUGUUGUUGCCCAGCAGCUUCACGGUCAGGGUGGUGCCGGCAAGCGAGCACGAGGCGAGGCCCUUGGCGGUGGUGCCGGCCUUGACCUCCAGCACGGUGGCGCACUGCGCGGCGGUCAGGGUGCUGCCCAGGGAAGAGCCGUCCGCAGCAAAGAGACCGCUGGUGACGGGCAGGGUCACGACAACGGUGUCGGGGGCGGUGGCGACCACGUCUGACGACAGGUAAGCGGGGUUGAUGGUGAUGGUGCGCGGUUGGUAGGCGGGGCCGGAGGAGCUGCCCGCAAGCAGCAUGGUGUUGGUCGUCAGCACGUUGAUCGUUUGGCCUGCAACAGGUGACAUGCGACAAUGAUGUCCGAUUAAUGGGGGCAUUAACGGGAGUUACGUAACCCACGAGUGCAAGGCAGGUUGCUGCAACAACAGUGUGCAUAUACGCCGGCCUGUACACCCUGGCCCUCACCUGGCGCAUAGGUCGUGCCGGCGAGCGUGACAAUCAGCUGGCUGCUGCUAGUGGUGUUGAGGUCGCAGGCGUUGCCACUGCCAACCAGGGAACCACUGCUCAUGGCCAGGACAGUGUCGCAGUCCGCCUUGACAAGGCCCGCGGUCGCGGAACCGGACUUGACGAAAGUGCUGGCCGCAGGCAGGGACACAACCACGACCGAGGUGGAGGUGGCCUUGGCGCUCACGAAGGUGGGGUUGAGGAUGUUGGCAGGCGAGGUGGCCAGGGGCUGGAAGAAAAGCGCGGAGGCGCCGGUGCCCAGGCGCAGAGCCGUGUUGGUGGACUUGACGUUCAGGCGGUCACCUAGCACCAUACAGCAAGAGUACCAUGAGUUAGAUACGUGACAAGUCAAUGGAGAAUGGCCUGGGCCUGAAGCCUUUGUGCAAGUAACCGCACAUCGCCACGGCUCAUGACUCACCAGGAACAAAGGCGCUGGCCAGGUCCAGGGUCAGGGUGGUGCCGGAGGCGGUACAGGCGGCGAAGGGGCUGGACUUGCCGGACAGGUCUAGCGCGGCAUUGCAGGCGUCGGCGGUGAGCGGGUUGGGCACCGGCGAGGACAUGGCGGCGGGCAGGGUCACCAGCAGGCGGGUGCUGGUGGUGACCUGCACAGCGCCGAUGGUGGGCUGGAUGGUGGCGGCGGUGGCGCCGGACACGGGCUGGUACAGGGCGCCGGUGGACGAGGUGCCGCGCAGCGCUGAGUUGAGGGCGUUGAUGUUGAUGGUGUCGCCAAUGGUGUAGGAGCCGCUCAGCGUCACGGUCAGCAGGGUGCCGUUGUUGCUCAGGGCGCAAUUGGAUGUGGCGGCGGUGAGCACCAGGAAGGAGCAGCUGGAGCCGGUCAGGUCGGAGGCCACGGGCAGCGGCACGAUGAUGGUGGUGGGCGAGGUGAUGUGCGCGCUGGUGAUGGCGGGCGACACCUCGGUGGCGCUGCUGAGGGCGGGGUAGCUGGGGCCGUUGGCGGCGCCCAGCACCUUGAGCAGCGUCUGGUCAGACCGGAUGUUCAGCUUGUCGGUGGAGACCCAGGAGCUGGUGGUCAGGGUCACGGUCAGGCCGUCCGUCGACAGCGUGCAGGCGGAGAAGGGGCUGGCGCGCGCGGUGCCGGAAGAGUUAAACAGCGUAAACACGUUGUUGCAGGAGGAGGAGAAGCCGUCCACUGCAGCCGCGGCCACCGACAGCUUGACGAUGAUGGUGUUGGCAGCUGUCAGGUAGGCGCCGGCAAGCUUGGCCUCGCUGAUGGUGAGGGCGGAGCCGCGGGGCACAAAGGCUGGGCUGUCGCUAGAGCCAGAGCCGGCGGCGAGCAGGAAUAGCUGGCUGCUCUUCACGUUGAUGGUGGUGACACCCGAGGUGACGGAGCCCGCGCUGGCAAGCAGGAAGCUGAUGCCGGUGCCGUCGGCGCUGAGCGUGCAGUUGGUGAAGGGCGUGGCGAGCCCGGACACGUCGAAGGCGCCGUUGCAGAUGGACUGGUUGAAGGCGGAGGCGGAAGUGGGUGCCGAUAGCGACACAAACACGUUGGUGUUGCUGAUCAGCGCGGUGGACACGACAGUGGGCGUGAUGACGAUGGCGGUGCCGGCGUGGACAAAGGCCGGGCCUGAAGCGGACAGGGAGCCCAGGAAGGCGCUGUUGCCGGACUUGACGUUGAUGCGGUCACCCGCGGUGUAGGAGGCCGUGGAGGCAAUGGUGAGCGUCAGCGUGGUGCCGCCAGAGAUGGAGCAGGCGCUGAAGGGAGCAGUCCUGGACGCGCCGGCAGCAGAGACCAGGUCAAACGCGGCGUUGCAGACGGUGCCGUUGUUGGUGGAGGCCGGCAGGUUGGCGGCGUACGGCAGGGCCACAACAAUGGUGGAGGAGGCGGUCAGCAUGGCGGUGGUGGCGGCCGUGAGGAUGGGGUUGAUGGGCGUCAGCAGCACGCCAUAGGCGGUGGUGUUGGCGAACGUCAGCUUGGUCUGGCCCGACUUGGGGGUGACCUGGUCGCCCACCACGUAGAUGCCGGCGGUCAUGUUGAGCACCAGCGUGUUGUUGGAGCCGAUGGAGCAGCCGGUCCAGGGGCUCACACGCGAGGUGGUGCCGGAGGCGUCCAGCAGGUCAAACGCGUCGCCGCACUCGGAGGCAGAGAUGGUGGCGGGGAGCGCGCUGGCUAGGGGCAGCUGCACAGUGACCUGGGUGGCGGAUGUCAGCACAGCCGAGCUGAAGCCAGGCACGAUGGCAACGGGGGUGGAGGCGGCGAUGUAGUUGGGGCCCAGGGUGACGGAGGCGCCCGCGCGCAGCUGCCACUGGCCGGUGCGCACGUUCACGGUGUCACCUACGGACAGAUGGAUCGGCACAACGUUGUUCAUACUGCUGACGUGGUCUCGAAGUGGCGUACCUUGCAUUCAACAAGUCAGGCUCUCAAUUGCCAUGCACACGUGCUUACCGGCAGCGUAGGCGGCGCCAAGGGUAACGAGCAGGGCCUUGCCAUCAGCGGACAGCACACAGCCCGAAAUGGCCUUUGCGGCGGUGGAGUUGGCGGCGGCAAUGAUGACGGAGCGCGCGCAGUCGUCAGCGGAGUAGGGGGCGGGGAUGGAGGAGACCACCGGCAGGCCGACACGGACGACGGAGGCGGCGACCAGGAUGGCGGUGGAGAGGGUGGGCAGCACACUGACGGCCUGGGGCACGUAGGCGGUGCUGCCCACCUGCAGCAGCGACUGGCCGCUCUUGACGUUGAAGAUGUCGCCAGCCGUGUAGGUGGAGGCGGAGGCCAGGGUCAGGACCAGGGCGGUGUUGUUGGACGCCAGGGCGCAGGCCGAGAAGGGGCUGGACUUGGACGCAGAGGAGCCCGCCGCGCGCAGCUCAAAGGCUCCGUUGCAGCCCGCCGCAUCCAGAGUCCCGCUAGCCGUGCUGGAAACUGG